rnacentral:tRNA from 1 species
UCAGUAGCUGAGUGGAUAACGUGAUGGCUUUUGAAGCGAAAGAUACUGGGUUCGAGUCCUAGAGUGA